ensembl:lncRNA
GGGGACAGGUGUGUGUAACGAAGGGGUCAGGUGUGUGUAACGAAGGGGACAGGUGUGCGUAACGAAGGGGACAGGUAACGUAACAAAGGGGACAGGUAAGUGUAACGAAGGGGACAGGUGUACGUAACGAAGGGGACAGGUGUGCGUAACGAAGGGGACAGGUGUGUGUAACGAAGGGGUCAGGUGUAUGUAACGAAGGGGACAGGUGUGUGUAACGAAGGGGACAGGUGUGCGUAAUGAAGGGGACAGGUGUAUAUAACGAAGGGGACAGGUGUUUGUAAUGAAGAGGACAGGUGUCCGUAACGAAGGGGACAGGUGUGCGUAAUGA